CGUGAACUUGAACCGGUCGGUACUGCCUUCGACGUGAGCCGGCGGCGUAUCCGGGGGAGCGAAUACCUCCCAAAUAGUAACGGUGGUGAACAAAGGUAAGAUCAAAUUGGCAAUAUAUCAAUUGUGGAAUGUAAUGGUACAAGCUUGCUUGACUGUAAGAUAGACAUAUCAAACAGGGACGAAAGUCGGUCAUCGUGAACCGAUAAUUUUUUGUGGAAAGAUUAUCGCUCAACGGAUAAAAGGUACUCCG
rnacentral:ncRNA from 1 species